GUAGGAUCCGAGCGUUAUCCGAAUUUACUGGGCGUAAAGCGCGUGUAGGCGGCCGGGGUAAGUUGGGACGUGAAAGCUCCUGGCUCAACUAGGAGAGGUCGUUCAAAACUGCCUGGCUAGAGGGCGACAGAGGGAGGUGGAAUUCCCGGUGUAGUGGUGAAAUGCGUAGAUAUCGGGAGGAACACCAGUGGCGAAGGCGGCCUCCUGGGUCGCACCUGACGCUCAGACGCGAAAGCUAGGGGAGCGAACGGGAUUAGAUACCCCGGUAGUCCUAGCUGUAAACGAUGUGGACUUGGCGUUGGUGGGGGUCGAAAUACCAUCAGUGCCGUAGCUAACGCGAUAAGUCCACCGCCUGGGGACGUACGGUCGCAAGGCU
rnacentral:rRNA from 1 species